CUUCGAUCAGGUGCCGCCAAAACGUCCACAACGUAGUGGGCUUUGAAACUAAUCGAUUCAUUUCGGGUUCUAAGUUGGGUUUUAUUGAGUUCUUGCGGUGAAGGAACUGUUGGUGUGUUCUUGCGAGCUAUCCAGUCAAGUUACUCUAAGAGAUGGAUGAGGUGCCUCUGGAGCAGGCUUUGGAGGAAGAUGAAGC